rnacentral:rRNA from 1 species
UACGGAGGGAGCUAGCGUUAUUCGGAAUUACUGGGCGUAAAGCGCACGUAGGCGGCUUUGUAAGUUAGAGGUGAAAGCCUGGAGCUCAACUCCAGAAUUGCCUUUAAGACUGCAUCGCUUGAAUCCAGGAGAGGUGAGUGGAAUUCCGAGUGUAGAGGUGAAAUUCGUAGAUAUUCGGAAGAACACCAGUGGCGAAGGCGGCUCACUGGAGCUGGUAUUGACGCUGAGGUGCGAAAGCUAGGGGAGCAACAGG